AGGCCUGUAAUUAUCUGUGGACGGAAUUAAGAAAUAGGCAUUGCAAAAGAACUUCUAGCAAUUGCAGAAUCACUAGAAGAAUUAAUUAUAUUGCUUUCCAAGGUGACCAUUCUGGCUCAUUGUGACAUAUAGGUUCUAGAAUGUAGAUCUAAAAGAUUAUGCUGUUUACCUGGAGGCCAAACUUGGUCUACGUGCAUGGAAAGACAUAAAUGCGGGCAUAUAUUUCCCAUGUUUCACUCUACGUGACAUUAAAUAUAGUUGCGAAAUGAUUCCAUAGUCAUCUAAAACUUCAAUCACUUCCCAUUGGCCUGGAAACUGAAAAACCAGUCUUUAUAUUAUUUGGGGGAUUUUCUUGACCCUGCUGUGCUAACAUGAUGCGGAAAUCACCUUCAAGUUCUGUCCCACCACCGUUUUUGCUUAUCUGGAAGAGUGACGCAACACUCCCUUCUGGGCCCGGCUGGCUGCCUGUGGAAAUUGACGCUUGAUGUUCCUCUCUGUCCGAACCCCUCAAAGUCAUGCUGGAGGCUACGAUGGCACUGAGGAGGUGCCUCCCCUGAAGGAAACCUUGCAGGAGAGGUAGGUUACAUUCCCCAGGCAAUGGCACUACCCAAAUCACCCGUGUAAUAUGCAUUUCUCAGCGAGUGGCUCAGAGUAAGUGUUCAAUAUGUAAUGACAGGUAGUAUUUCCUCACCCAAAUCUGGCGAAUGGCCAAGAUGUUGUCAUAAUGCAGAUGGACCAUUCCAGUUUAGUUAAGUUUCCUUAACGUGAGGGCUCCCCCGCUUCCCCCAAAGGCCUGCAGACCCACCCGGCCGCCACCCACUGCUGGUAGGUAGACAGUGUCCCACCUCUCUCCCACCCACCGCCCACCCAAGGGUUUAUCUACAUACUUGCUGGUCUGCCUCUGGUGCUGGAUGACCAUGUUUUUCUCGUGGAUUGUCUCUAGUAGGGCCGUUGCCAGAGAUUUCAGAUCAGAAAUGGACUGUGGAGUAGCUGGGAGACUGCACCCAUGAUCCUCAGACAACAGAUCCUGAACUAGGUGGGAUUAAAGUUUACAACUCAGUGUUAAGUCCUUCUGAAACGCUGGAAUGCAAACCAAUGUCCAUUCUUCCUGGAUAACAAAGCUGGGAUACGUUCCCAGCUCCUAAAUGCUACGAUGUUGUACUGAAGAAUCCGCAUCAAGUGUCAAAAGUAAAACAAAACAAAAUUCAGCAUGAGGGGUAAACGGAAAGUAAAAGGAGGAAGUUCUCGUGGACUUUUACCAACAAUGUUUUAAAAGGAUAAUAAUAAUCUUUUGUAUUUGUCCAGUCUUUUGCCCUUUCACAACAUUUUCAUACUAACUCAUUUGAGGCUGAAAAUUAAAAAAAAAAAAAAGAAAAAAAA